rnacentral:rRNA from 1 species
UACGUAGGGGGCAAGCGUUGUCCGGAAUCAUUGGGCGUAAAGAGCGUGUAGGCGGUUCGGUAAGUCGGCUGUGAAAGUCCAGGGCUCAACCCUGGGAUGCCGGUCGAUACUGCCGGACUAGAGUUCGGAAGAGGCGAGUGGAAUUCCCGGUGUAGCGGUGAAAUGCGCAGAUAUCGGGAGGAACACCUAUGGCGAAGGCAGCUCGCUGGGACGUUACUGACGCUGAGGCGCGAAAGCGUGGGGGAGCAAACAGG